rnacentral:lncRNA from 10 species
UUACUCUCCCAGACUUGUUCUCAGCCUUUCUGGGGACAAAUGAAGGAAGCAACUGGGGAGAAGAAACUAACCAGAGGUUUGGAGAUGUUUCUCAGGUUAUUUUGAGAACAGCCGAUCCGAAUGCUGAUUGAAUUGGCUUCUCACUGUAUUUGUCAAGGCUGGAACAGACGAUGGCACUGCAGAAUCUUAUGUGCACAGAAGAAAUCUACAGACAUUCAAUGAGGGGAGGAUUUCGUUCCAUCAGAUGGGCUUCCUGACAUAAUUGCAAAGACACAUGAAGACUCAACGAUUUAUCUCCCAUCAACCUCUUCUUAGUUAAUAUCAGCCCAUGUGCUCCAAGAAAACCAGAGGAAAUAUCAAGAAAGAAGAAAACAUGAGACCCUGAAAAUAAAAACCUCAACCCAGAAGGAGACCAUGAAAUAAUUCCAGUAUGUUUGCUUAAUUGUUGGGUAUUCCUGUGACAAAGAAGGCACUACUCAGCCAGCCAGAAUGCACUGACCACCACUGCAGGGUUUCAGUCACAUGAGACAUCUGGGUGAUAGAGGGAAGUGUGGGGAAUGGCUAUCAUUGAUGAGCCUGUAUGUUCUAAGUGAUCUGGGGACUAAGGCUUAUUUUUCUCCAGGCUUGUCUUAUGAAGAAGUUUUAGUCUAUUUGGAAUAGAUAAGGCUUAUACACAUAAAGUAACUGAUACUCAAUUAUAUGUAAUUAUGUUAGUUGGGGAUAAGGCUAAGCUGUGUUAUGUAGUGACUCAAAAAUGCGAUGACUCAAACAAGAUUGGAGCUUGUUUCUCUCCGGGAAUGAAUGAUCCCACACUCGGGGGCAGCUAGGCUGCUGGGAUCCAGGUUCCUUCACCUGUUGCUCUGUUAUGGUUGAAGCUGGCUUAUCCCAACCUCAUUC